rnacentral:rRNA from 1 species
UACGAAGGGGGCUAGCGUUGCUCGGAAUCACUGGGCGUAAAGGGUGCGUAGGCGGGUUUUUAAGUCAGGGGUGAAAUCCUGGAGCUCAACUCCAGAACUGCCUUUGAUACUGAAGAUCUUGAGUCCGGGAGAGGUGAGUGGAAUUCCCGGUGUAGCGGUGAAAUGCGCAGAUAUCGGGAAGAACACCCGUGGCGAAGGCGGCUCUCUGGGACGGUACUGACGCUGAGACGCGAAAGCGUGGGGAGCGAACAGG